rnacentral:tRNA from 1 species
GUCCCCUUCGUCUAGAGGCCCCAGGACACCGCCAUUUCACGGCGGUAACAGGGGUUCGAAUCCCCUAGGGGACGCCA